GACACGAUAGUUGGGAGCUGAGGGUUUCAGGAACCCUAACCAGUGAAGUCAUCUUUCUCUAUUCGCUCGCUCGGGCAGCGGAUUGGAUCGAGGAUUCGAGGCCGACCGCACGAGCACGCCGCCGCCGCUUGGAAUCGCCUCGCCGCCGCCACCGGUAGCCGGCAAGAUCCAAGGCGUGAAAGCACAUAUAUAACUGGCUGGAGAGCAUGGGGCAGCAGCAAAGCAGGCUUCCAGUAUCUCAAGACAUUGUCCUCGAAUGUGGCGACACUAGCGGAAAAGCUAAAGAGGAGAGGUAAUUCUAGGACACAUCCUCGUUCGUGAAUUCAAACUCUGUAUUAGUGUCCUCUUGAGUAAUACUCGCUCGCUCCUUCCAUUACAUAAUAUAUUUCAUGGUGCAUUUAACGAAACUAAAUUUGGUGUGUUCUAUUUAUUUUUUGUUUAUCCUUGUAUUGUUGUAUUGUAGGGAAAAUCUACUACUCCAAUCUUCAAUCUUCAAUAUUCCACGUCUGUAUUAGUGAGUACUUUGCAUGUGUGCCCAUGCGACCAAUAUUCCCUUGGGAUUUUUGCCUAUAUGGAGAAAGCACAUGCAUGUAUGCACCAAAAAAAAAAUCCACCUCAUGUUGACAUCAUCACAUUAAUCCUGAAUUUUUUUAAGGAAUGAUUAAUAUGAUUAGCGACCAGUCUUCACUGUUGAGUUUGUCUUGACGAAGGCUUCGAAACCACAUCCCAUGUUGACAUGUUUUGAUGAUUUUUGUUGUCGCCACCCGUUGAUAGAUUAUGUUACUGUAAUUGUCAUUUUAGUAGCGAACGGUUGUCAUGAUGAUUCUGUACACCUAGCAAUACUUCUGUAUAGUCUCAUGUCUCAUUCUUGCAUGCAAGAGAGAGGGGAGGAAGCCACAUCAUGGGAAAACAUCCAUGUGGCUACCUGUGUGUGUGUGCAUGUGCGUGUGUAUGUGCUAUGUAUGACUUAAUGAUGAUACUUUUGGCAUGCUUUGUUGAUAUCAUUCAUCGUGCAACCUUUGAUCAUCAGCACAAGAAGUGUGCAACCUUUAAUCAUCAGCAAAAGAUGGGCACAACCUUUGAGCAACCGACCUUUACUUGAACCUGUUUUGGGUGCGGUGCCAAUACUACCCGAUCCUUCGAUUUCUGUACAUGGACAUGGUUUGGGUGAGUUGCUGCCAGAGCUGAUCACUAUUCAAACUGCUUAUGUUCGUGUUGUCAACUCUCCUUUGAUUUCUUUACAUGGGCCUUGGUUGGGUGAGGUGCGAGGAAUGAUUAGUGGAGUCAAACUACUUUGAUUGGGAGUUUGGUUGAGCAAGACAGGGUUGAUUUGAUCAGCAAAUAUAUCCCGCCAGAACCUGUUGAGAUGUGCAAAUUGACUCUUACUGGCCAGACCUUUUUUUGCAAUUUUCUCUAUCCACACCAAUUUAUGCAAGAUCAAGUCCAUCGUAGCGUAUGAUGAUCAUGGUGGAGUUCUCAUCUACGAGUACAAGAAUGGAGAUGAGGAGCAGUUUAUUAAAAGAAGAAACCUGUGGCUGUCAAAGCAUAUAGGAAAAAAAACUUCUAGUUUUGUGGAUUCACUUGUUCUCGAUGACUCGAGCCGUGCCAUGUCCGCUUAUGCGGGGUGCUGGAUCAUUGAAAUGGAUGUGCCAGUUGAAUCUUCUUUGCUGCCUGAAAGCUUUGCAACCGAUGAAAUACCUGGGCAAGUAUUCGAGACCACAUUAGAUUUGGAUGAUGGUUUCCUUGACAAACCGAGGAGCAGUUUGGUUUCGGUCAGAGGGGGAUUUAUAUAUUUCACGUCUGUAGUUUUCACUAAUGCAUUCCAAUCUUCAAUCAAAUUUAUACUCCAUGCUUGCAUGGAAGAAAAUAUCCAAUUUCUUCAGUACGCUAAAGUGCAGGGAGAGCUUACAUUAAUUGUAGGAGAUUUCCCCACUGGAUACACUAUUUUCAAAAACAAGGUUGAGGAUGAUGCUGUGGAUUUCAUGACCUGCAAUCCCUGCAGAGACGAUUGUAGAGCGUUCGAGCUUCCCUUAACUCGGGUCAUUCUUGCUUUACCCAUUGGAUAUCGUGUACGUGUUACGGGGAAUUUGUCGGUGGGACAUAUGAGAAUGGUUGUAGAUCAGUAUUUGGUGCUCGACAGGAAUAUUGUACUGGUUGAAUGGGCAGUGGAUCAAUUUUUUGAUGCUACUAUAUGCAUCGAGUCAACUUCUUUUUUCUAGUCUACUCUGCACAUCAGGCAAGAGCACAUGAUGUACUUUGAAUGUUUUAUAGUUUUUCGUUAGUAGAACUGCUGCUGAAUGCAAUUGCAAUGUUGCUCUUUAUAGUUGAUAUGUCAAGA